rnacentral:rRNA from 1 species
UCGGGAAUUUUGGGCAAUGGGCGAAAGCCUGACCCAGCAACGCCGCGUGAAGGAUGAAGUAUUUCGGUAUGUAAACUUCGAAAGAAUGGGAAGAAUCAAUGACGGUACCAUUUAUAAGGUCCGGCUAACUACGUGCCAGCAGCCGCGGUAAUACGUAGGGACCAAGCGUUGUUCGGAUUUACUGGGCGUAAAGGGCGCGUAGGCGGCUUUGUAAGUCACUUGUGAAAUCUCCGGGCUUAACUCGGAACGGCCAAGUGAUACUGCAAAGCUAGAGUGCAGAAGGGGCAAUCGGAAUUCUUGGUGUAGCGGUGAAAUGCGUAGAUAUCAAGAGGAACACCUGAGGUGAAGACGGGUUGCUGGGCUGACACUGACGCUGAGGCGCGAAAGCCAGGGGAGCAAACGGGGAUUAGAUACCCCCGUAGUCCCUGAGCGGGCUGGCAAG